CAAUCAGGUAGGAUUACCCGCUGAACUUAAGCAUAUCAAUAAGCGGAGGAAAAGAAACUAACAAGGAUUCCCCUAGUAACUGCGAGUGAAGCGGGAAAAGCUCAAAUUUAAAAUCUGGCGGUCUUUGGCCGUCCGAGUUGUAGUCUGGAGAAGUGCUUUCCGCGCUGGACCGUGUACAAGUCUCUUGGAACAGAGCGUCAUAGAGGGUGAGAAUCCCGUCUUUGACACGGACUACCAGUGCUUUGUGAUGUGCUCUCAAAGAGUCGAGUUGUUUGGGAAUGCAGCUCAAAAUGGGUGGUAAAUUCCAUCUAAAGCUAAAUAUUGGCGAGAGACCGAUAGCGAACAAGUACCGUGAGGGAAAGAUGAAAAGCACUUUGGAAAGAGAGUUAAACAGUACGUGAAAUUGCUGAAAGGGAAACGCUUGRAGUCAGUCGCGUUGGCCAGGACUCAGCCUUGCUUUUUUGCUUGGUGCAUUUUCUGGUUGACGGGCCAGCAUCGAUUUUGACCGCUGGAAAAAGGUUAGGGGAAUGUGGCACCUUCGGGUGUGUUAUAGCCCUUAGUCGCAUACAGUGGUUGGGAUCGAGGACCGCAGCACGCCUUUAUGGCCGGGGUUCGCCCACGUUCGUGCUUAGGAUGCUGGCGUAAUGGCUUUAAACGACCCGUCUUGAAACACGGACCAAGGAGUCUAACAUGCCUGCGAGUGUUUGGGUGGAAAACCCGAGCGCGUAAUGAAAGUGAAAGUUGAGAUCCCUGUCGUGGGGAGCAUCGACGCCCGGACCUGAACUUCGGUGAUGGAUCUGCGGUAGAGCAUGUAUGUUGGGACCCGAAAGAUGGUGAACUAUGCCUGAAUAGGGUGAAGCCAGAGGAAACUCUGGUGGAGGCUCGUAGCGAUUCUGACGUGCAAAUCGAUCGUCAAAUUUGGGUAUAG
rnacentral:rRNA from 1 species